AUACGGAGGAUCCGAGCGUUAUCCGGAUUUAUUGGGUUUAAAGGGAGCGUAGGCGGACGCUUAAGUCAGUUGUGAAAGUUUGCGGCUCAACCGUAAAAUUGCAGUUGAUACUGGGUGUCUUGAGUACAGUAGAGGUAGGCGGAAUUCGUGGUGUAGCGGUGAAAUGCUUAGAUAUCACGAAGAACUCCGAUUGCGAAGGCAGCCUGCUGGACUGUAACUGACGCUGAUGCUCGAAAGUGUGGGUAUCAAACAGGAUUAGAUACCCUGGUAGUCCACACAGUAAACGAUGAAUACUCGCUGUUUGCGAUAUACAGUAAGCGGCCAAGCGAAAGCGUUAAGUAUUCCGCCUGGGGAGUACGCCGGCAACGGUGAAACUUAAAUGAAUUGGCGGGG
rnacentral:rRNA from 1 species